UACGUAGGGGGCAAGCGUUGUCCGGAAUCAUUGGGCGUAAAGCGCGUGUAGGCGGUUCGGUAAGUCGGCUGUGAAAGUCCAGGGCUCAACCCUGGGAUGCCGGUCGAUACUGCCGGACUAGAGUUCAGAAGAGGCGAGUGGAAUUCCCGGUGUAGCGGUGAAAUGCGCAGAUAUCGGGAGGAACACCAAUGGCGAAGGCAGCUCGCUGGGACGUUACUGACGCUGAGACGCGAAAGCGUGGGGAGCAAACAGG
rnacentral:rRNA from 1 species